GGGAAAUUCCAUUCUGUUCCACACCAGCUUAUGCAUUGAAAAUUCUGUAUCUUUAAAAAAAGAUUUGAGGAACAGAACUGUGUUUUGAUGUUAACAAAUUGUACGAACACAAGACUUAAGAAAUAAGAGUAGUUGUUGCCAUGAUGGUGUGGCUACUUGAAGGCUGCAAAUUCUCCUGUAGAGGGAGGACAAGAGCUAAUUUUAAAAAAGUUAUCUCAAAUAACCAAGAGAUCUAGAAAAGCCUCACUGAAACCUCACUGAAAGGGGACUCGCUAACUAUUACAAAGCUAGCAACAUCAUCACUGAUUUAAAAGCAAAAAUGGCCGAAAUCCAUAAAAGAAGACUCAGUAUUAAAGGGAAGCUGGGAAUGUUUUACCACCAGGAGGAACUGAAGCAGCAGUUCUCAAAGUGUAAUAUGUAGAAAAACUAUGUUCAUAAUAACAGCAAGGCACUCUGCCAUCAAUCUCUUCAUGGCUUUUGGACAGUUACUCCGUACCUUACUGAGAUCUGGAGAAAGAUAUCCUCGUCCCACCAUAAAAAUUAUCUGGGCAAGGGAAAAAAAAAACAAUAAAUCAUACAACCUUGUUGAUGAACUGAAAAAUACAUAAACAUAGAAAAUUCAACAA